CGGUUUCUGUUGUAAAUUUUCUGUAUAUAUAAAUGACAUAGCUACUGAAAAGGUUUCAAUGCCUAUUAGUUUGAUUUUGAAGCUUUAUGCCUCUUGACUCUGGCACUUCUAUAUCCUCUGAGGAGAGAGGCGAUGAGACUUAUUUUGUGUCUUACUUAAGUGCAUUGAAAUUUUUGUGUCAGCUGCUUGCUGAAUUGGUAAACUUAGAAAGGAAACACAUAAUUGCUGGAAGUGAUGUCGAUUCUGCUUCUCCCCAGUUCUGUGCCAUGUAGGAUGCUUGCAAUCAUUUCUUGGAUGUUUUUGUUCUCUUUAAAAGGGAUUUCUUCAAGUAAUGUCGCAACUGUUGGACUCGGUGCUGUCCAGGUAAAUUGGCGAU